UCGAAAGAUCGUGGCCCCGCACACUGCUCAGUAACACGUAGUCAACCUACCCUUGGGACGGGGACAACCUCGGGAAACUGAGGCUAAUCCCCGAUAGGUGAGGGACGCUGGAAUGCCUCCUCGCCCAAAGCUCCGGCGCCCAAGGAUGGGACUGCGGUCUACCAGGCUGUUGGUGGUGUAACGGACCACCAAACCUACGACGGGUACGGGCGAUGGGAGUCGGAGCCCGGAGAUGGGGACUGAGACAAGGCCCCAGGCCCUACGGGGCGCAGCAAGCGCGAAAACUCCGCAAUGCGCGCAAGCGUGACGGGGGAAUCCCAAGUGCCGUUGGUCUUAUGAUCGACGGUUUUUAGGAAGUCUAAGAAGCUUCCAGAAUAAGGGCUGGGCAAGACUGGUGCCAGCCGCCGCGGUAACACCAGCAGCCCAAGUGGUGACCACGAUUAUUGGGCCUAAAGCGCUCGUAGCCGGAUCAGCAAGUCCCUUGUGAAAUCGGGCCGCCCAACGGUUCGGCGUGCAAGGGAUACUGUUGGUCUUGAGGCCGGGAGAGGUCGGAGGUACUCCUGGGGUAGCGGUGAAAUGCUCUAAUCCUAGGGGGACCACCAGUGGCGAAGGCGUCCGACCAGAACGGGCCUGACGGUGAGGGGCGAAGGCUAGGGGAGCGAACGGGAUUAGAUACCCCGGUAGUCCUAGCUGUAAAGCAUGCGGGCCAGGUGUCUAGCGCUCCUCGAGGGCGCUAGGUGCCGGAGGGAAGCCGUUAAGCCCGCCGCCUGGGAAGUACGGCCGCAAGGCUGAAACUUAAAGAAAUUGGCGGGGGAGCACCACAAGAGGUGGGACCUGCGGUUCAAUUGGAUUCAACGCCGGAAAACUCACCAGGGGCGACAGCUGGUUGACGGCCAGAUUGACGAUCUUGCCCGACUAGCUGAGAGGUAGUGCAUGGCCAUCGUCAGCUCGUACCGUGAGGCGUCCUGUUAAGUCAGGCAACGAGCGAGAUCCUCGCCCUUAGUUGCCAUCGGUGGAAAGCCGGGCACUCUAGGGGGACCGCUGGCGCUAAGUCAGAGGAAGGAGAGGGCGACGGUAGGUCAGUAUGCCCCGAAUCCCCUGGGCUACACGCGGGUCACAUGCGCAGGACAAUGAGAUGCA
rnacentral:rRNA from 1 species